rnacentral:lncRNA from 1 species
AAACAAAAAAAUAAAAGAAAGCAAAAAGGCAACUCCGGUAUAGGUGACCCUCACAAAGUCAUUUAAACCAAAUAAUUGUAAAAAUUUGCUACAAAAAGAAAAAGAAAAAGAAAAAUUUACCCACUGUUAGUUGGUUCAGAGGUAUCUGGCACUGAACUCGGUAGGGCGGAUUACGAUCCGAUCCCCCACAACUACAGUUGGGUCCAAUAAAGGG